rnacentral:lncRNA from 1 species
UGGAACAGUGAAGUCUAGUGGUAACCACAAUCCUUAGGAGUGCCUCUCCCUAGAACCCAGACACCAUGCUGAAUUGGUAUUCAGCUCCAUGCCUUGGUUUUUACUGUCACAGAAAGCAGUAACCACAUACAAAGGAAGCUGAAUUGCUAGGAAAUGGCAUGACAUGAAAACAAAAGACAUCAACUGAGACUUAAAUUCCACAGUUCUGGGAGAAGGACUGGCUCUCAAUCCACUGAGCCACUUAACUGUCCCCAAUGGACUCCACAUUUUAAGAACAUUGACACACUGGACUGGGUACCAAAGAAAAUUAAGAAGAUGAUGGGAGGACCAGAGUCAGAGCCAAGGAUAACUCAAAAUGAGAAAGCUGAGGUCAAUGGAAGUUAA